AGCGAACGCUUUCUUCCUUCCUACCACCUUCAAUUCGAACUAACUCUUCGGAGUUAGUGGCGGACGGGUGAGUAACACGUGGGAACGUGCCUUUUGGUUCGGAAUAACUCAGGGAAACUUGUGCUAAUACCGAAUGUGCCCUUCGGGGGAAAGAUUUAUCGCCAUUAGAGCGGCCCGCGUCUGAUUAGCUAGUUGGUGAGGUAACGGCUCACCAAGGCGACGAUCAGUAGCUGGUCUGAGAGGAUGACCAGCCACACUGGGACUGAGACACGGCCCAGACUCCUACGGGAGGCAGCAGUGGGGAAUCUUGCGCAAUGGGCGAAAGCCUGACGCAGCCAUGCCGCGUGAAUGAUGAAGGUAUUAGGAUUGUAAAAUUCUUUCACCGGGGACGAUAAUGUCGGUACCCGGAGAAGAAGCCAAGGAUAACUUCGGG
rnacentral:rRNA from 1 species